rnacentral:rRNA from 1 species
AGGUUUUCGGACCUAGAGACCGGCGCACGGGUGCGUAACGCGUAUGCAAUCUACCUUUUACAGAGGGAUAGCCCAGAGAAAUUUGGAUUAAUACCUCAUAGUAUUAUUGAAUGGCAUCAUUUAAUAAUUAAAGUCACAACGGUAAAAGAUGAGCAUGCGUCCCAUUAGCUAGUUGGUAAGGUAACGGCUUACCAAGGCAACGAUGGGUAGGGGUCCUGAGAGGGAGAUCCCCCACACUGGUACUGAGACACGGACCAGACUCCUACGGGAGGCAGCAGUGAGGAAUAUUGGUCAAUGGGCGCAAGCCUGAACCAGCCAUGCCGCGUGCAGGAUGAAGCAUCUAUGGUGUGUAAACUGCUUUUGUACGAGAAGAAACACUCCUACGUGUAGGAGCUUGACGGUAUCGUAAGAAUAAGGACCGGCUAACUCCGUGCCAGCAGCCGCGGUAAUACGGAGGGUCCAAGCGUUAUCCGGA